rnacentral:rRNA from 1 species
AUUGAACGCUGGCGGAAUGCUUUACACAUGCAAGUCGAACGGCAGCACGGGGGCAACCCUGGUGGCGAGUGGCGAACGGGUGAGUAAUACAUCGGAGCGUGCCCAGUCGUGGGGGAUAACGUAGCGAAAGUUACGCUAAUACCGCAUACGAUCUACGGAUGAAAGCGGGGGACCGUAAGGCCUCGCGCGAUUGGAGCGGCCGAUGUCAGAUUAGGGGGUUGGUGAGGUAAAGGCUCACCAAGCCGACGAUCUGUAGCUGGUCUGAGAGGACGACCAGCCGCACUGGGACUGAGACACGGCGCAGACUCCUACGGGAGGCAGCAGUGGUGAAUUUUGGACAAUGGGCGCAAGCCUGAUCCAGCCAUUCCGCGUGCAGGACGAAGGCCUUCGGGUUGUAAACUGCUUUUGUACGGAACGAAAAGGCUCUGGUUAAUACCCGGGGCUCAUGACGGUACCGUAAGAAUAAGCACCGGCUAACUACGUGCCAGCAGCCGCCGCCGUAA